rnacentral:lncRNA from 1 species
GACCGUCGCAUGUCCGUUCGUCACCGUAAACUCCGUCACCUGAAGCCUCCGAUCUGCAACAAGUUGCGGUUCGACGACUUUGACAGCCUCCGCACAACCACCGGUCGCCGCAUACAUCCACCAUGAACCGGCUUUAAUUUGGAACCAUCAUACCCCGCUUUUCUGCCACCGCGAACUAGCUCGUCGUCGUCGCGAACCAGAUUCAGCCACCUCACGUGUUCGUGUAUCACCGCUCUUGUCUCAGCUCUAAUUUGCUUGGGUUCAACAACUAAGGUUCUUGAUUUUCGAGAUCGACUUGACUAAUUGGUCUUGCUUUGCUUGCUAAUAAGCGUCAGUACUGAUCUGUUUUGCUUCCGUAUGCCUGUAACAAAAUAUGAAAGCCAAAUAGAAGCCAGCUGGACAGCACUGAAGUCUUGGAAAAGUGGCAAUAAAGUUACCUAA